CUUUCUGCCUUUUCUAGGGCUGCUUCCUGCGGCAUAUGGAGGUUCCCAGGCCAGGGGUCUAGUUGGAGCUAUACCUUCCGGCCUACACCCCAGCUCACGGCAACGUGGGAUCCUUAACCCACUGAGCAAGGCCAGGAACCCUCAACCUCAUGGUUCCUAGUCGGAUUCGUUAACCACUGCACCACAAAGGGAACUCCCUGUCCUCAGCAUUUUAUACACAGUAACUCAUCUUGUAACAACCACUGGCAUUCUAUUAGCACCCCCAUUUUAAAGAUGUGGAAACUGAGGCACAGAGAAAGUAAGCAAACUGCCUGGGGGCACAUAGCUGGUAGAUGGCAGGGGUGGUGGUGGUGGGGGAGCAGGAACACCCGGUUCCAUGAAUUUUUCACGGGGGCUGCAAGCUACGUUUGGGAUUGCUUGGCUCCGAGGCCUCUGCGUCCAGGUCCUUCUGCUUCCCAGUCUCAGCACCUGCCACUCAACGCCAGGUUGAAAGCAGGUCAUUGGGGGGAAUUACUGUAACUUUUGAGCCUUUUUAUCUAAGAAGGUAGUUUUAGGCUCAAAUAGAAAACCUGGUAAUAAGAAUAUUAUUAUAUCUAUCUCUCAACUUCAUCCAACUUCCUGUCAUCCCUCUUUCUCAUAUUCUUGAUUGAUGGCUGGACACACCAUCAAGGAAUUGCUGAAUUGAAGGGAAAUGAGAUCAGGGUUGGAUUAAUCUUGCCGUGGAUUGUUACAUAUCUCUGGCUUCCCGUGAGUUGAGAAUUGCAAAGAUAAACCAUGAAGAUGGCCAGAUGUGGCCACAGACCAAAGCCAAGAUGCUCAAAGAAAUUCCGACUUGUCUUGUUUCCAGAGAGAAAUAAGCAAAACGAGGCAAAAAGGAAACAUUUGUGACUAAUGCAGGAAUCCCAGCCUUCGGUCAGGAUCUGGAAUAUUCCUAUGUGGGAGUAUUAUGACUGAAAAUCUUCUGCUAAUUCAUCAGAGCUUAUAGUUAAGGUUCCCUAAAAUCACUGGGUCCAAAGCCAGAUCAUGUUUUCCCAGAAUUUCCUGGACUGAAGAUCUUUACAAGAUGCCACCAUUCUGAAUCUCUCAGACCACAGAGGGAUUUCAAUCUUCCCCUCAACCCCCGACCUCCAACGGAGUCUCAGGCAGGUUCCCUGCUCAACUGUGUGACAGACAACACCUGUCCUUGGUUGAGAGAGGGCAAAAGUGAGCAGUUUCUGAGAAAUGGUAGAACUGGCUCCAGGAAUAAAAGCCACCUGAGGAACCAGCUGUAAAAAAAAGACAGAGAGAAGUCUGGGUGGAAGGAAGAUGUCCUGUGGGCGCAGGUGAGAAGGAAGGAGAGCAGGUGUAGACAGUGGCAGCAGUGAAUUAGAUGAUGAUUAAUCAGCCACGUCACAAAGUGUCACCUCCCAGGUAAUUACUAUUUGCCUUGAACUGAUGAAGAAAUGGGGGCAAAGAGGGACGGUUACACAGCAGGUGGCAGAGACAGAAGGUGAAGAAGGGCUAUGGGACACUUCACACCCAGAUGACGCCCCACAUGACGUAUCUGGUGUGUCUGGGUGUUGUAGCUGACUCCCCCUGGAUGAUAACACAGAGGAGGGACAUAGAUGGGGAGAAAGAACUGCUCAUUAUUUGAAGAUGACAUCACCCAAUUUUUAGAAAGCCUGAGAAACCAGCUAAAAUUUUAGAACAAAUACGCAAAUCAGGUAAUGUUAAAUAUAUAACAAAUACACCAACAUUACAGCUUUCCAAGCACAAGCCAUACAUUAUUGGAAAGCAUGAGAAAAGAUAUAUCAGAUGAGCAAAAAGAAAAAGAAGGAUUAAAAAUAAGAAAUCUGCAAAAGCAUCCCACGAGCAUCACCAGAUUUACCCGAAGAUCAUACAUAACAGUCUUCGAAAUGGAAACAUGUGGUACUGACCUGGUACGAUGUCAGUUUUCCCAGAUGACUGCAUCAGCUUCAUACCCUUCAUCGAAAUCUUGGUGGCACUUCUUUUGAGUAGGUCAAACAGAUUUGUCUGGAAAGAUAACCAGGAAAAAUAGCCAGGAUGUUUACAAAAGCAGAGGAAGAGGACCACCCCAAGGCUUCUGCUAGACCGGAGCAGAGAUUGUAACAGUAGCUACAGCUUGUGACUAACCCCUGUAAAUAACUCUUGUAACUCUAAGGUAUGUAACUAACCUCUGUAAAUAACCCAUGUAAAUAACUCCUGAUACUAAUUCAUGUAACCAGCCACUCUAAAUAGCCCUCUCCUGUAACUAACCUCUGGGGACACCAUGCCCUGUCCUUACUGAACGGUCACAGUUCCCUUCCUCCCACAACCUUGUGCAGAAGGGACCACAGUUCUUCCUUUCAGCGGAGGCCGACCCGGUGUUAGUGCCUCUUCACAAAGUCACACAAUCAAUGGCAGGUUUUUACAUGCAAUUUGCAUGCACGUUUUUUAGUACCCACCUGCUUAGCUGCGAUGCUAUGAGCUACGAAAGGUCAAACCAGGCAGCAAUGGGGCAAAUCAAUGACAGGCCAAUGGACUAGAGAUGGGUGCCCUGGACUGAGUGUGUGCCUGGGAAACACUGCUUAUCACCGAAUACAAUAUUCAAAGGCUGGUGCUGAACUCUUAGCUAUUUGGGGAAAACAAAACAAAACCAUCUCACAUUAUGUGACCUACUAAAGUCAAUUCCACCUGGAUUGAGAAACUAAAUGGAAAAUUUUAAUUAUUAUUUUUUUACAAUUUAGAAAAAUAUGGGAAAAUCUAGAUGUUCCUACGUUGGAGGAGGGCUUUCUGUAUAUGACAGCGGUCAAAGGGGAAAAGGAACGGGAAGAUUUAACUACCUGAAAUGUCAAAAAUAUCCUAACUUAAUGAGAGCAUCUUAAAUCGGCUAACAUGACAAUAAAAUGCCUGUGCUCAAUGUCGAUAGUAUUUUGUGAAGGGAGCUUAGAAUAUAUCUCAAGCUGAUCAGAGGUCUCUGUCCUGUAGCUUCCUAAUUCUUAUUCAAAGACUUUAUUCUAAGGAAAGCCAUCAGCAAUGAGGCCAAAGUUUAAAGGUUCUCCCUGGAAGCAAACUUUGUCACAGCAAAAGGUGUGGAAAAAUCUAACGGAUGAACAAAUUCGUCAGGAGAAAGAAGUAACUCAAUCUUAUGCGUCUUAUCUCUAUGAACAACGCGAUGACAUGGGGAGCUCUCGGGACAAAAGUUUAAAACUCUACAUGUGGAAAAGAGAAAAAUAAUUGUCAGAGCAGCUGCAGCUCUGAUUUGACCCUUAACCUGGGAACUUCCAUAUGGUGUGGUUGUGGCCCUAAAAAGAAAAAAGACAAAAAAAAAAAAUUACAUAUUGAAAAUAAACAUAUUCAAAAAGUGAUUGCAGUUAUACAAAGAAAAGUGUUGAGGCAAUUCUCUAUGUCCUGUUUACCAAUUUUUAUGCUUUUCAAAAUCUGAAAUAUUUUAUGUCAUUUUUCUAAUAAGAAAACAAUUUUUAAAAGUGCUUUUAUGUAAAUACAAAGGAGUUCUGCCUCCUGGCCCCCUCAAGCAGAUAAAUACUGUGUUAUUUCACUGCACGUGGGGAUGAGCCAUUUCAUGUACUUGUGUCUCUGGUUUAAAUUCUGCAGAAACCAUCCUGCUUCUGUUUUAAGUGUCUCAUUUACAUUUCCAGGUGGAUGUGGGAGCAGCGUAAAGAGGAGGAGAGGAACUUUGCCCCCCCUCACAUCCUGAAGCUGUGGUGGAAGGAUCUAGAAACAGACUAUGGCUGGCAGAGCUGCCAGGGCCAAUCCUGGCUCAGACAGAUAUCCCCAGAAGGAUGUCUGGAGCCAGACGGAUAUUGGAAUCCAUGACCCCAGGAGAAGCUUCUGGAAGGAGAGCUGUAACAUGUUUCUGGGUCCUGCACUAGGGUUGCAGGGAGCAUGGCUGGCAGCCUUCAGAUGUGAAGGUGAGAUGGAUUGGAGCGUCACAGGGAUGGGAAGUGAUUUGCUGAAAAUUUUCACACGGAUGUUCACGCUUGGAAAUAUAAGGUGUCGCCUCUGACUGCUGUCAGUUCCCUUCCUCUCAGCUGCCAGUGGCCCCCGGGAGGUAGGAGAGGCCUGUGGGAUUCUGCAAGCAGCAGGGCCUAGAAGAAGCCCGGGAUGCGGGCCUGCCCCCUGCCCACCGCUCAGCAGAUCAGACUCCCUGCCCUGCAGGACGUUUCCCACCUCCUCACACCCAGGACUUUGCCUGACUUUUCUUUUCACACCAGGCUCAUGCGUGCCUGGCGUGCCUUUCCCUAUCCAGCCGUGUGGCUGUCACACCUCAGAGUCAGUAGGGGGUCAUGGAGUGGUGCCCCAAACACUGCAAGGAGAGUAAGUGUUCCGUCGACACCCCUCAUGACGGGCUCUUUCAGCGCCAGAUACAGAAGCUUCCAGAUGGAAGGAUGCAGAGCGUCCGACCUCAGCUGUUGGUUGAACCCACAGGUGCGUCGUUCACCCAAGCAGGCCAGGCAGCCAACGUCCCCUGGGCUCCAGGAGCUGGCACCUCCCACACCCGCGACCAGCUGAGCCUGGUCCCGAGGCCUGCCGUCCAGACAGGGCAGGGUCUUUCCAAAGGCGACUUUCCAUUGAGCAGAUCAGCUCUAUUCUGUCUACACUGAGGUAUCACCUGCCGUCUCUCCAGACCUCAGCUGCUACACACCUGCAGCCCUGCAGGCUCCCAGCUCAGAAUCUGGCUGAAGUUCUGUGGCCUCUUGAACUCCAUGGGACAGAGCCUUCGUUGGGGACUUGCCCCCGAGUGGACACAAUAAGUAUUCUGUUUUGUCUUCUAGACUGAGUUGGUAGCAAUUCCAAGCUACGGGUUUGUAUUAUCCACUUACAUGACACUUGCAUCUUCUUUUAUAAAGGAUUUGAAGAGGGCUCAAAAGAGUCCUUUAAAACCCUAGCCUCCAGCAAACAGAAGCCUGGAGGUCAAUGUGCGGAGAUAAAAAAGAUCAAACAUGUCUUGGCUAUUGUGAAUAGUGCUGCAAUGAGCAUGCAGGUGCAUGUGUCUUUUUUAAGGAAAGUUUUGUCUGGAUAUAAGCCCAAGAGUGGGAUUGCUGGGUCAUAUGGUAGUUCUAUGUAUAGAUUUCUAAGGUAUCUCCACACUGUUCUCCAUAGUGCCUGUAUCAGCUUAUUUUUCCCACCAACAGUGCAGGAGGGUUCCCUUUUCUCCACAACCCCUCCAGCUCUUAUUUGUGGACUUAUUAAUGAUUGCUAUUCUGACUGGUGUGAGGUGGUAUCUCAUGGUAGUUUUGAUUUGCAUUUCUCUAAUAACCCAAAUGUCCAUCGACAGACAAUUGGAUUAGGAAGAUGUGGUAAAUACACACAAUGGAAUACUACUCAGCCAUAAAAAAGAACAACAUAACGUCAUUUGCAGCAACAUGGAUGGAACUAGAGACUCUCAUACUGAGUGAACUAAGUCAGAAAGAGAAAGAUAAAUAC
rnacentral:lncRNA from 1 species